GGUGAGGAUUGGUGGGAAAAACCAGCUAUGGGGACAGAGGAGAGGGAGGCUAGUGCGGCACAGAGGUGCCUAGGGAAGGAGCUGCGCAGGCAGGAGGGAGGGCGGGCAGGAGGGCAGGGCAGGAGAGCCCGGGGUGGGGAACCCAGGUGAGGCCAGCUCAGGGCUGAGCCCCAGAGGGCCCUGCACAGGUGACACUAGCUCAGGGCUGAGCCCCAGAGGGCCCUGCGCAGGUGAUGCCAACUCAGGGCUGAGCCCCGGAGGACCCUGCACAAAGCAGGCAGCAGCGUUGUGUCCUGGCUUUCCAAGCUUUUCCUUAAAAAAAAUCUAGCG
rnacentral:lncRNA from 1 species